ACGAUAGGCAAGGACACCGGGGGGUCGCAACGAUAAGUAUGACCUCUCUUGCCGAAGGUAAAUGAAGGGGAGAGUGGUAGACAGGUAGAGUCAAACACGUCACUUGACGAUGUGCUGUGUAAGUCUCUGGUGUUGAGGUGAGUAUGUGAGUGUGUGUGUGCCGCUAGCGUAUGGGUGUCUGUUUGUCUCCGAAGCGU
ensembl:ncRNA C25F6.10 ncRNA